rnacentral:rRNA from 1 species
GAGUUUGAUCCUGGCUCAGAAUGAACGUUGGCGGCGUGGAUUAGGCAUGCAAGUCGAGCGAGAACCCCGCAAGGGGGGACAGCGGCAAACGGGGUAGUAAUGUGUCGGAACGUGCCCUCUGGACGGGGAUAGCGGCGGGAAACUGCCGGUAAUACCCGAUGAACUCGAGAGAGCAAAGGUGUGAUUCCGCCGGAGGAGCGGCCGACAUGGUAUUAGCUAGUUGGCGGGGUAACGGCCCACCAAGGCUGUGAUGCCUAGGGGAUGUGAGAGCAUGAUCCCCACCAUUGGGACUGAGACACUGCCCAGACACCUACGGGCGGCUGCAGUCGAGAAUCUUCGUCAAUGGGCGAAAGCCUGAACGAGCGACGCCGCGUGCGGGAUGAAGGCCUUUGGGUUGUAAACCGCUGUCGAGGGGGAUGAAGGCUUGAAGGUACUCCUUCAAGUUUGACAGAGCCCUGGAGGAAGCACGGGCUAAGUUCGUGCCAGCAGCCGCGGUAAUACGAACUGUGCGAACGUUAUUCGGAAUCACUGGGCUUACAGGGUGCGUAGGCGGCUAUUCAGGUCAGGUGUGAAAGCCCCCGGCUCAACCGGGGAACUGCGCUUGAAACCGAAUGGCUCGAGUCAGCUAGAGGGACACGGAACUUCCAGUGGAGCGGUGAAAUGUGUUGAUAUUGGAAGGAACACCGGAGGCGAAAGCGGUGUCCUGGGGCUGGUCUGACGCUGAGGCACGAAAGCCAGGGGAGCGAACGGGAUUAGAUACCCCGGUAGUCCUGGCCGUAAACGAUGAGUGCUGGACGGGA